AUCGGAUAUGAGAAGUUUCUGCUCAAAUUGAUCAGAAUGGAAUUUUGGAAAACUGAAGUCUCUUUUGGUCUGGAAAUUGAAUUGCUCUACUACUGGAAAUGUUCAUUUUGUACUGACUUUCUGACUAGAAUGUGAAUGAGGAGAAUGCAGAGGCCGUGUCUUUCCAUCUUUGUAUACCAGAACCUUUUUGUCAUUGUGUUUGAGCUCUACAUUAUGGGAUUGAAGUCCCUCAGCAGGGUUCUUCUAGAGUCCUUCACAGCCUCUGUGCGUCCCUUCAGAGCGAUAUCAACAU